UCGUAGAAGGAUCCUUUCGCCUA
rnacentral:siRNA from 1 species